GGCGGCGUGGCCGAGUGGUUAGGGCGCCGGACUUGAAAUCCAGAGGUCGCGGGUUCAAGUCCCGCUUUGACCA
rnacentral:tRNA from 1 species